rnacentral:rRNA from 1 species
AUUGAACGCUGGCGGCAGGCCUAACACAUGCAAGUCGAACGAGUGGCGGACGGGUGAGUAAUGUCUGGGAAACUGCCCGAUGGAGGGGGAUAACUACUGGAAACGGUAGCUAAUACCGCAUACCAUCGGAUGUGCCCAGAUGGGAUUAGCUAGUAGGUGGGGUAACGGCUCACCUAGGCGACGAUCCCUAGCUGGUCUGAGAGGAUGACCAGCCACGCUGGAACUGAGACACGUUCCAGCCUCCUCCGUGAGGCAGCAUUGGGGAAUAUUGCACAAUGGGCGCAAGCCUGAUGCAGCCAUGCCGCGUGUAUGAAGAAGGCCUUCGGGUUGUAAAGUACUUUCAGCGAGUAGGAGUUACUCGCAGAAGAAGCACCGGCUAACUCCGUACCAGCCGCCGCGGUAAUUC